CGUUGUGCAUCUGGGAACGAUGGACUUGACAAGAGAGGCAAAGGCAGAUGAUCGUAUUAUUUAACAAAUUUUAAAUAUUUGUCAAUUGUAACAGACCUGCCAGUGGCUAAUUACCUGGAAUGAUGCUCGGAAUGUUGACCUAUGUCACUGUGGAUGGUAGCUGACCUUAUUUGACCUCAGUACCGAUUAUGGAGCUGGUAUUUAAGAAUAUAAAUGUGGAGGUGGACAAAAGACUGAUUCUAAACAAUGUCAGCGGGUUGGCCAGUCCAGGAGAGUUGCUGGCCAUUAUGGGGCCUAGUGGUGCAGGAAAGUCCACCUUGUUAAACACAUUAGCCGGCCACACCCCUCUGUCCUCAGGAACCAUAACUGUGAAUGGACACCCCAUUUCCAAGGACCUGAGGAGAAAAAUCUGUUACGUCUUGCAGCAGGAUAUUUUCUUCCCAAGCCUCACACUCCGCGAGACACUGCAGUUUACAGCCAAAAUAAGACUACCAGAUAAAAUGUCCCAUGAGCAGAUCACAUCCAAAGUGGAUGAAAUUAUCAAGGAUUUAGAUUUAUCCAGAUGUGUAGAUACAAUUAUGGGUGAUGUGUGGGUGAGGGGAUUGUCUGGGGGAGAGAAGAAGAGAGCCAGCAUUGCCUGUGAGCUUGUCACUGACCCAGUCAUGAUUCUUUUGGAUGAGCCUACAUCAGGUCUGGACUACAGCACGGCCUUCAGUCUGAUUGAAAUGCUACAGUCCUACGCCAGAGACCACAAGAAAACAGUCAUCACAACCAUUCAUCAACCCUCCAGCUACAUCUUCUACCAGUUCCACAAACUACUGCUUAUCUCUGGUGGAGAGAUUUUGACAUGUGUAUUGACUGUGCAUGUGAUUUUUACAGCACCUAACAUGUUUGGUUUUCAUCAUGUUGGCUUACUAUGGGGAUACAGAGAAAGUGGUCGAUUUUUUCCACGAAGCUGACAUUCCUGUGGCACCACACUAUAACCCAGCAGAUUUGAUAUUGGAAAAACUUACAGAAGAUGAUAAAACAAGAUUAAAAAUCAUAAGUGCCAUGGACCAAAUAAGGAACAGUUCUGAUUGGCCAGUUAAAUUAAGGAGCAGUGGACAUAUUAUAGAUGAAAACAUAGAAUCAAGACCUACAUACUCUGAGGACAUUGUGGAACCACCUUUCAAUG